CUGUGUGGUUUUCUGGAGAGUCCAGACUGCAGACUGCAGACUCUGAGGUUGAUGACCUGCAGUUUGUCAAAGACCAGCUGUGCUGCUCUGAUCUCAACUCUGAAGUUCAACCCGUCCCACCUGACAAAACUGGACCUGAGUAACAACAACCUUCAGUCUUCAGAUGUUCAGCAGCUUCAGGAUCUGGUGGAGAGUCCAAACUCCAAACUGCAGACUCUGAGGUGGAAGAGAAGGAUAUUUUGGUCCAGGAGCAGCAGCAGCUGCAGCAGCUGGUCUGCAGAGAUGUUGUGCCUGGACGAUGUUCCUGAGACGUGGAGAGCAGAGUGAAGGAGGAUUCAGAGGAAGUGGAGAUGAAUGUCAGAGCUGCAGCAGGAACUGAUCUGAGAUCAGCCCCACUGUCUUUCUCAGCACCAAGUGGACAGUUAUUGUGCUGCAGCUCCCCCAGUGGACUGAUGGAGAACUGCACACUAUCUUGUCAUUCUAAUUCUGCUUCUUCUCUCUUGUAUUGUAAGCUUCUCUUAAAAUUGUCUUUUGUCUCUUGUUGAUGGGAUUCUCCCUGUCAGCUGACGUCUGUGUUUUUGUGUAAAUUUUCAUGAGGAAGAAUCUGUUCUUUAUGCUGUUUAUUAUUUGCAGAAAACCAUCCUUUUACUUUUCGGUUUUUAAUAUUUCACAAUUUUUACAACACUUUUUAAAAAAACAUUUUUGGUCA